GAUGAACGCUGGCGGCGUGCCUAACACAUGCAAGUCGAGCGAGGGUUUGCUCAGUAUUGAGUAUUCUAAGACUAGAAUGUUCAAUUCUGAGCAAAAACCAAGCGGCGGACGGGUGAGUAACGCGUGGGUAACCUGCCCUAUACACAUGGAUAACAUACUGAAAAGUUUACUAAUACAUGAUAAUAUAUAUUUGCGGCAUCGCAGAUAUAUCAAAGUGUUAGCGAUAUAGGAUGGACCCGCGUCUGAUUAGCUAGUUGGUGAGAUAACUGCCCACCAAGGCGACGAUCAGUAGCCGACCUGAGAGGGUGAUCGGCCACAUUGGAACUGAGACACGGUCCAAACUCCUACGGGAGGCAGCAGUGGGGAAUAUUGCACAAUGGGCGAAAGCCUGAUGCAGCAACGCCGCGUGAACGAUGAAGGUCUUCGGAUCGUAAAGUUCUGUUGCAGGGGAAGAUAAUGACGGUACCCUGUGAGGAAGCCCCGGCUAACUACGUGCCAGCAGCCGCGGUAAUACGUAGGGGGCUAGCGUUAUCCGGAUUUACUGGGCGUAAAGGGUGCGUAGGUGGUCCUUCAAGUCGGUGGUUAAAGGCUACGGCUCAACCGUAGUAAGCCGCCGAAACUGGAGGACUUGAGUGCAGGAGAGGAAAGUGGAAUUCCCAGUGUAGCGGUGAAAUGCGUAGAUAUUGGGAGGAACACCAGUAGCGAAGGCGGCUUUCUGGACUGCAACUGACACUGAGGCACGAAAGCGUGGGUAGCAAACAGG
rnacentral:rRNA from 1 species